CUACGACGGGUACGGGUUGUGAGAGCAAGAGCCCGGAGAUGGAUUCUGAGACACGAAUCCAGGCCCUACGGGGUGCAGCAGGCGCGAAAACUUUACAAUGCCGGCAACGGCGAUAAGGGGACCUCGAGUGCCAGGUUACAAAUCUGGCUGUCGUGAUGCCUAAAAAGCAUUGCAUAGCAAGGGCCGGGCAAGACCGGUGCCAGCCGCCGCGGUAACACCGGCGGCUCGAGUGGUAACCGUUAUUAUUGGGUCUAAAGGGUCUGUAGCCGGCCGGAUAAGUCUCUUGAGAAAUCCAGCAGCUCAACUGUUGGGCUUUCAGGAGAUACUGUUCGGCUCGAGGCCGGGAGAGGUGAGAGGUACUUCAGGGGUAGGGGUGAAAUCUUGUAAUCCUUGAAGGACCACCAGUGGCGAAGGCGUCUCACCAGAACGGACCUGACGGCAAGGGACGAAAGCUAGGGGCACGAACCGGAUUAGAUACCCGGGUAGUCCUAGCCGUAAACGAUACUCGCUAGGUGUCGGCCACGGUGCGACCGUUGUCGGUGCCGUAGGGAAGCCGUGAAGCGAGC
rnacentral:rRNA from 1 species